rnacentral:rRNA from 1 species
GAGUCGCUGGUGCUCAUGAAAAGAAUUUAAGUUCUGCCUUAUAAUUACUUAUAACACUUUUAAGUAAUAAAGUAACUAUAAGAGUAAUUCAAUAGGGGUACAGCCCUAUUGAAGAAGGAAACAAUCUCCACCUUUGGGUAAGGAUCAUACAACACAAGGGUCUUGCCAGAGUGGGCCUAAAAGCAGCCACCUCGCUAGAAAGCGUCACAGCUCAUGCAAAGCUUAACCAACAAUGUCGUUAAACCCUCCAAACCCGUAAGUACUACUGAGCCUCUCUAUAUCUGCAUAGAACAGUUUAUGCUAGAACUAGUAACAUGAAAUUAUUCUCCUAAUGCAAGUGUAAAUCAGAUCGAAAGCCUCACUGAUAGUUAACGUACCAUAUGAAGGUAUUGUAGUAACCAAUCAAGAAAACCCUACAAACCCCACCGUUAAUCUAACACAAGAGCAUAAAAGAAAGAUUAAAAGACGUAUAAGGAACUCGGCAAACAUGAACUUCGCCUGU